AGUUUGAAAGUAGAGAAUAAAUCUACGUAGCAAUAAUCUACUAUUACAAGAUAUAUUUUGAACUAAACCACCAGUUCUUUAUGUAUUCUCUUUGAAACAUGACAAACUCUGAUCUUUGCUCGCUCUCUGUUGCAUGCACAAUUUCCCAUGCUCGUGCUUAACUUCAUUCAUUUAUUGCUUCUUCCGUGGGAGGCUGCAUAAGUCACUCAAAACACAGCUAGAAAAGUACAGAUAACAUUGGACAAACUCCAGAGCUCACAAAAGGCUUCCAUAAGCUGUUUCUGUCACAGACAUGUGACUUUCACUGUGCAAUUAGGGGAUUUAUGCACCGUGACAUCCAGCAGGCAGCAGACACAGCGAGGCACGGGCUCUGCUAAGUGGGAAAGUCAAACAUGAAAAUAUAUCACAGAUGAGCUAAAUGCCAUUUUGAGGAUACUUCCCAUGAUUUCUAAGAAGUCUUUUACCCAAGAAGUUCUAAAGCACCCAAAGUGACUCUAUGUAAAAAUCUGCUCUGCAGGGUGGACAGACAGAUAUAUCACAGAAGUGCGAAGAUGUGAAGAUAGAGACAAUGUGAAAAAUUUUGAACCAGCAAAACAGCUCUCUCUUGUAAAAAUAAAAAAUGAAAUUCAGGCAGGUAUUUGUUAAGAAAGACAGAAAGAUUCCUGCAAACCUCACCAAGGCUACUGAAAAAAAGAGUUUAGCACUGGAAGAUCACAAUGAAGAAGAGAGAAUGAAGUAAAUUGCAAAGUAUGUAUUAAACUAAUUUUAGUUUGAAGAAAUGCAUCAUUUUGUUCCCUGAAAUUUAUGCUGUGUUGCUUGGGACUAUCUCAGCUCAGCUUUCCACAGCACCAUUACACAGUACUACAGAAGCGUGAGCUGAGACUGCAGAAAGCACGAGAGUGAGAAACUACAAGUGUUUAAAAAGGGAUAUGGGAAACUUAAGCUGAUGGGGAAAGAAGAAGAAAUGCUGCAAAGUGUCUUGUCGAGGAUGAUGCCAUGUGCACACCCACAGAAGACAAAACAAUGAAAACUGGGGAGAAGGGCAGAGACUACUGCAGCAAAGCAGUCAUUCCAAACUGUUCCCAUCAAUGACCUCUUUGACAACAGCCAAAACUUCCUGGGCCUCUUUCUCCUCCCUUCCCUCCCAUUUCCCCUUCUCAUUUUACACAGUUCAUGCUAAAAACUUUGCAAUCCACCUAGCUAGAGAUUGUUUUCUUUUGGUUUCACUUUAGGAAGUUUACUGAAUGUGAUGGGCUGAUAACUCUUACAUCUCCAGAAAACUAAAUGACCAGAAAGCAUCCUAAAUCAGCCACUCUUUGCCCAGAAAAGUCCUCCAAAAUGAUUUCAGCAGCUGAUGUACUACAUGUACCCCUAAACACUUGUCCAACGAUCUGACACUUUUAUCAGCACUGUGCUGAACCCCACCAUCCUGAUGAGAGCAUCACAGGCUGUGUGUUAUUUGGAUCCAGUGAACUGAAAAUCACAGACAUAAGUAAACCGUGGGUUCCUCCACAGAGUGAGCAUUAGCCAACUGUACAAACUGACCCUAAGGGCCAGGACUUCUUUUCUGCAGUAAGCCACAAAGUGUUCACACUGAAUAGGAAAUAUUCUCAGGGUUUAAAACAUUAAAGAAAUAAAAUUUCAAAAGUAUGGACACAUACUAGUUUAAAAAUCUGAGAUACUCAAAAUAUCUGAGCCCAUCAGAGCUAAGUCCUUUGUAGACCUCCAAAACAAGAGAGGUUAAACAAACUCAGGUAAAAGUGUGCUCCUGUUCAUAGACAUAAACACUCAAACACUAUUAGCUGAUCUCUUUGAGCAUAUAUGCAUGUAGAUACAAAUACAAAUACAUGCUAAGUAUAAACACAGAGGAAAAUUUAUACAAUUGAUACCUGCAUAUAAAUAACUCCCACCCAUUUAAGUAGGCCCAGCACAAUCUUAAAAUUUGUCUGAUUCUCAAAAUAUCACCUCAAUAUUGUUUAUGAACACUGAGCAAUAGGGAAAAGCAUAUCUAAUAUCUCGGAAAUCUGUAAGCUUUCAUUCUUUAUCUUCAAGCAAUAAAGAAGACUAUUUUCUCUGUUUCAUAUUAAAACAUUUAAAGGUCUUGAAAAUAUAGUAUUGUAGAGCUCAUGCAGACAUAAAAGAAUUUGAUGAAUUCAGUUGUAUUUAUCUUAGUAUUUUCUUAUCAGUAUAGAGAUGACAUGAGGAGCUGAAUGAAUUAAGUGCAUCCUAUUCUUGACAAACACACACAAGUUCAAAUAGAUAGAUGGAUUUGCACUGCUCUACUCUUACUAGUGCAUGUAAACACUUCAGUGAAUUAUUAUAAUUUCAGUAUUAUAAUUUCAGUAAAACCUACUGAUGUUAAAGGAAGUCAUGUCCUGACCAUGUCAUAGUUAUUUUCAUAAAACCAUCAUUCAUAGUUCACAAUAUUGUAAUAUAGUGAAUAUAACUAUAGUUCAUAAUAUAUUAAAUAUUUUCAAAGAAAUUGUGGGGUAUUUUCCCUACUGCUGUUAGUUGAAUGUCUGAAGAACUGACUAACCUUAUGGAUUUUUCCUUCCAAUUUUCAAGGUUAUUUUAUUUGUAGUUGUUAAAUAACUAUUGCUGUAAAUAAAACUUAUUCUAUCUUGAACAAUAUUUCCUCUUGGUGUUUACUCUGGACACAGGAUGCAUACUGAUGUGUAAUCAUGGGACUUUCAGGAUAGAGCACAUGCUCUGAUGUAAUUAAUGUAGACCCAAAACAUUAGAGAUCGAGAGAGACUGGGAGUAUUUGGAAUAAAAUCACCCAUUUGGUGUGAUCCCUAUGAUAAGAAAAAUAAGUCAGUCAUAAGCAGAAGAAAUGGCAGCCAUCGCUUGGGAUUAAUAAAUAUAUCAAUGACAUGGUUUUGAAAAAAAACUUCAGUUUUAAUCUAGCUUUUGGGGUUUUUUGCUGGUAUCUCUCACCAAAAAUGAAAAGAAACAAAAUCACCCUGUUUCACAACAACACAGCUUUAGCAGAAAAUAUCUGCAAAUACUGGUAAAAUAAAACUGAAAUGUUCUAUCUGAAAGGUGGGGAAGUGCUAUGGCAAAACUUCUUCUGUGAGAAUUCAGAAUACCUUAAGUCUAAAGGUCAUUUAAAUUAUGAUGCCAUAGCAAAUUAGAUGAAACUUGCCUAUAUGGAGAAUAUUCAAUCUGGUAGAAAACUUUUGCUGGAAGUUUUCUUUAAACUUUUAUGUAGGAACUAACAGACAAAGCACAAGAAGUUUUAUGAGGUGAAAUCACCAGAAUUUUGUGCAAGCACAGAAAAAUAUCAACUGAGCCAACCUUCUUAGUUUUACUGCACAUCUGUGUAACUCUUAAGAAAUGCAAAACUGAAGUUACCCUCCUGAGAGGUGGUAAUGCCCAAAGGAAUAAGACAAUCCUACCUGAAUUAAUAAUUCAUCAGGGAUUAUUCACCCAUUUUUAAAUGCGAGGAUCUGGUCUGAUCAUUUUUAUAUUUAUUCUCACAUUUUCAAGAAAGUUACAAUUCAUAGUAUUUCAGUGCAAUAUAAUUUGUGACUAACAAAUGGGAAAAUAAAAACAGAAUGAUAGUGUGUUCUAUAAACUCAUCAAUCACAGUCACAGAGCUAGCCCAGACUUCUUGAGACUUGCUAAAUCCUAAUGUCCCUUCAAUGAGACCUAGAGUUUGUGUAUUUAUUUAAAGAGUUCUUAUGUGCUCAUAGCAAGAAUUAACUGUGAAAAAACAAAGCAAAUGCUUAACAGCUACAUUUCUGAUCAAAUCAGGUAGCAUUUUUAAGCAUUUCUUUGCAUGAUGUUAGCACAGGUUAGGAUAUUGCUAAUUUUGAAGAAUUUCUCUGCUCUGUGUUAUGUACAUCUCUUGCUUUGUGGCCGAGUCUACAGAAGUAUCUGACACUACUUCAAUCACACAUCAGCAUUUGCAGAACAUAAAAGAGACUCUUUCACCUUUUGUUUCAAUUCUAAUGAGAAUUACACUAUACUCAGGAGAUGGAAAGCUAAGAAUCCCCAAAUCCCUCGAGCAAAAUGCAGCUCUUAUUAUUAAGAUUAUCUUGCACUCCCAGAGCAUUUGAAAGUCUGUGUAAAAUGAAAGACCUAUCCAAGUUUCUACAGUAUUGCAACUGCAAAAGAGUGCAGACAUCAAACACUUUCUGUUCACAUCUACUGCACAACCCCUUUUUCAAGGAACAGGGCUUCUUGGGAGUGUACAGGUCUACAAACUUUUAAAUAUGGAAACUUUCCAACUCCCCUCUUAAGUCCUUUCCUAAAGGUAAAGAGCUUUAACAAAGAUAAGCUGAGUUUUCAUCUGGCAUCUUACAGGAAUCCUGGGACAAAAGAAGAAGGUAAAAUAUCAGGCCUGCAUGACACCACUGGUUUUUUCAUUUGAAAAAAAAAAGCAGAAAAUGGAGUUAAGAAACCCACAGAUAUCUCCACCUCCAAAAUUCCAACCCAUUCAGCUCAGACUUUCAGAAAAGUUAUAUUUUUAGUAUGAAAUAGCACAUGUAGAAUUCCUCAUACACAUAUUUACAUUAUCUGCUCUUUCUGGCAGGAAAUAUUUCCAAAAUAUUUGGGUCUGAUUUCCUUUAAAGAAAAACCUCUAAGGUUUGCUAUUAUGAAUGAAAUUCCUUCUCUGAAGUAAGAACCAAACAUCUGUAAUAUUUUCUGAGUUUCUCAAACUUAGAAGUCUGAAUUUGAGUCAUAUCAUUGAUUAACUUCCUGUGCAUAUUAAAUCAGGGUUUUUUUAAGUUUUAACUAAAAAAACCCCAAAAACACACCAAAAAAAACCCAAAAAACCAAACCCACCACCAACAAGCAAGCAAACAAACAAAAAAAAAAAAAAAACAAAAAAAAAACUCUGUCUCUUCCAAUUUGUAAAUAUUGACAGCAAAGGUAAGUCGGUUAAUACUCCUCUUUCCUAGAUUUGGCACAUUUCCUAAAUUCAGUGUAAAAAGGGUCAGAAUAAUAUGUGACAACCAACAGGAAAAUGAGUUUUCCCGGGAAAGUGAGGAAACUAGUCAGAUACUAGUUAUACUGGAAAGGAUAAAUCACAUUAAAAAAAAAUAUGUUGUUAGUUUUGAAAUGAAAAUAUUUGAAAAAAAAAAAAAGCAUACAGACAAGCUAAACAGCACCCUUGAAGUCCAUUUCUAAUUGAUUUUACUUAUUCACCAAAGGUCGUAAAACAAUGCUGUGAAUUACUUAUCCCAGACUGACAUGAGGAACUGAAUGUGAGGGUGAAAGGUAACAUCAAAAAACAGCCAGCUUCAUCUGAUUCAAUGAACUCUUAGAAAAUGUGCACAAUAGCAGCCUGCAAAAGCUUUUCUUAGCAUAUUGUACUUCUCAGUUUUAAACUGAAGAACCUACAGGAUGUUAAUAAAUUGAGUACAAUAGUAUAUCUUGCUUUUAAUAAGGUGUUUGUUCUGAAAGCACAUUAAAGCCUCAUUCAAAAUGAAGGUGAUAAUGCACACGUAUGGCAGCUUAAUAAUAGAAAUCACACCUUUCUUUCUUUUCUUCUUACCUAGAUCCUUCCCUCCACCUCUUUCAGAAGCUGCACAUUUUUAAAUGAGUUGCCUAGUCAAUAAGUAAAAAAAAGUGUAUUAGAUGUCUUUAACAUAUUUGAUUUUUCAGAUAAAAUGGAAUGCUUGAAAGCCCUCAGCAGUGAUUGAAGGUGUUUCUUCGCUUCACUCUAAAAGCUUUUUUGGCAAGUUUCCCACCGGUGAAGCACUCCACUGCACAGAUGAGA